CGCCAAGUUUCUCUGGACAGUUUAACUGUGAUGUACAAAAACAGACAUGGAUGAUAAAUUUGUUCCAAGAUGCUGUGCUGUAUGAAAUCCAUAUUUCGUGACUUCAUGUAUUGCAUUUGCUAAGUAAUUUACAUUGCCUGUAGUAACACCGGCCAUACUCAUUCGUCCAUCAUGAGUCAUAUAAAUGUGGAAUUCCCUUGCUAGCCAAUCAACCUGUUUGGGGGUUAAGCCAGAGAAACAAAACAUCCCAACCUGGUUUGUUAUAUGUUGCCAAUUGAGAGAAGAACCCAAUUGCCAAAGGCUUUCCUGCAGAUUAGUACGCAUUGUUUGAAUGCAAUUUGCCAUGCCCUUCACCUCCUUGACCCAAAGUGCCUUUAUAUCUGGAUCACUCAGGACAGUAGAGACUAGUGAUGUACCAUGAACAGGAGGGCUACUAUACAUUGCCCUAGCAAUCUUCUGCAAUUGGCUUUUGAUUGCAACUGCUUGCUUCAUAUCAUUGCAAAGAACACUAAGACAACCAACUCGGUGUCCAUAUAAUCCCAUGUUCUUUGCAAAGGACUGAGCACAGCCUAACAAAUGCCCAUCUUCAAGAAAAAUACGAAUGGAUAAAGCAUCCCUGUCAAGGUCCCCGCUUGCAAACCCUUGGUAAGCCAUGUCGAAGAAGGGAAAAUGAUUCUUCACCUUGAACUGAUGUGAGAUUUCUCUCCACUGUUCCUCAGUAGGAUCAACACCAGUGGGAUUGUGAGCACAAGGGUGGAGCAGGAAAAAGGAACCAUCUGGGGCAUUCUUUACGUCAUCCAUGAGAGCGGUAAAAUUUAAACCCUUCAAAUCAGGAUGGUAGUAGCUAAAGGUAUUCUGUUGAACUUGAGCAUCUCUCCAUAUGUUAUGGUGGUUGGACCAAGUAGGAUUGGGCAAAUAUAUUUGAGAUUCAGGAUGGAAACGCUUCUGGAACUCAGCAAAGAGGCGGCAUGCACCAGUUCCUGAGAGUGCUUGAACACCAGCAUACCUUCCUUCUUUUAUAACAUCUGAAUCCUUACCGUAAACCAAUUUGACACUCUCCUCGACCAAUUUUGAACUCACAGCUGAUGAAAUAGACUCCAAGAAGUCACAACCCGCAAUCUUUGCUUCAGCAUCUCGAAGGCACUGAAGGAUAAUAGGUUUACCCUCAUCGUCCCUAUAAGCUCCCACUCCAAGAUUGAUCUUGACGGGGCUAGUGUCAGCAAGAAAAGCCUCCGUGACACUAGUGAUGGGGUCCUUAGGAGCAGGGCAGACGUGAUCCCACCAAUGAAGGGCUCUGAUCGAGGUUGAGAAGCAUCUGGAUGUUGUCAUCAACUGGUGUCUCCACAUGAUGAAGUUGCAGUGGAUUCAGGAUGGGUCUGAGCAGGUAGCCCAAAAAUUUCCUUAUAUUCACCAUGGAAAAUUGGAAAAGAGGUUAUUGAUAAAGGUGUCAUCUUCUUGCAUACUUGGCUCGUGGUUUUGAAAAGGGUUUUCCAGUGGGUAGAAGAGUGUUCCUCGGCACAAGGGUUUUACUAGUCAUCACAGUUAUUCAGACAGUCAA
rnacentral:misc_RNA from 1 species